rnacentral:lncRNA from 1 species
GAUGUCAGCUGAGAAGCAGAAGAAAGUUGCCGCUCGUGCACUUAGCAGGGUGACCUGGGUCUCACGCGCUAGGAGGGGAGGGACCAGAAAGCGCGCGCCCUACACAGUGCUGCAGACACGCGGAAGACAUAAGAUUUUUUGUAACCGCGCGCAUCUCUGCCCCUACGGCGAAGCUCAGCUCAACCGUUGCGGUCUGCCGCAGCUCGCGAGUGUCUGCGAUGCACCGUUAAUGUCACUCGAGCGCGGGGUCUGUCAAAGUCACUUUCAAGCUUAGACUUCCACUUCCGUGUAGAGGUCGCGUGCUUUAACGUCAGCUCAUUACAGGAAGCUCUAAUCUGCGCGUAAUCCUCUACAGAAGCGCAGAUUAAAGGAACUGUGGGAGACGGGAACUAACGUUGACAUCACACUCACGGGAAACUACGCUACGACAGCUGUGGAGGAAUGCCAGCCGGGGUCUGCGGGUGCUGCGGGCCUCUCCGGCCCCGCUACAAGCGUCUUGUGGACAACAUCUUCCCUGAGGACCCAAAGGAUGGCCUGGUGAAAGCGGACAUGGAGAAGCUGACUUUCUAUGCUGUCUCCGCCCCAGAGAAGCUGGACCGAAUCGGAGCGUACCUGGCAGAGAGAUUGAGCCGAGACGUAGUCCGACACCGCUAUGGGUAUGUGGUUAUCGCCAUGGAAGCGCUGGAUCAGCUGCUGAUGGCGUGUCACUCCCAGAGCAUCAAGCCGUUCGUGGAGAGUUUCCUUCACAUGGUGGCCAAGCUGCUCGAGUCCCGGGAGCCGGACCUGCAAGUACUGGGGACCAACUCAUUUGUGAAGUUUGCGAACAUUGAAGAGGACACCCCCAGCUAUCACCGCCGGUACGACUUCUUCGUGUCUCAGUUCAGUGCCAUGUGCCACUCCACACACGAAGACCCCGAGACACAGACCAGGAUCCGUGUCGCUGGUAUUAAAGGGCUGCAGGGGGUGGUGAGGAAGACGGUGAACGACGAGCUUCAGGCGAUCAUCUGGGAACCCCAACACAUGGACAAGCUGAUCCCCUCACUCCUGUUCAACAUGCAGGACUCAGACGAGACAGAGGGGCCGUCAGGAGAGGAGAAUCCGGCGUCUCUGGCUGAAAGUUGUUUCCGGGAGCUGUUGGGACGAGCCGCCUACGGCAACAUGAACAACGCCGUCCGUCCUGUGCUGGUGCACCUGGAUAAUCAUCGACUGUGGGAUACUAAUGAGUUUUCCGUCUCCUGCUUCCGCAUCAUCAUGUACUCAAUACAGGCACAGCACUCUCACCAUGUGAUCCAGCAGGUGUUGGGACAUCUCGACACACACUCUAAGAACACGCCACGUGUGCGCGCAGGAAUCGUGCAGGUGCUCCUGGAAACGGUUGCCAUAGCAGCCAAAGGUUCAGUAGGGCCCACCGUGUUGGAGGUCUUUAACACACUCCUGAAACACCUGCGUGUGUCCGUGGACGGGGAGCUGGCUGACGGGAGGCGGGUUUCCAACUAUAGCGUGUCAUCAUCCCGCGCCAGAGACAGUGAUGAAAGGAUUGUCCAGAAUGCCAUCAUUCAGACCAUAGGCUUCUUUGGGGGAAACUUGCCAGAUUACCAGCGUGCUGAGGUCAUGAUGUUCAUUAUGGGGAAGAUUCCUGUCUACGGCACGCCCUGUCACUCACUGGACACUGUCAAGAUUGGGCAUCAGGGCACUAAGAGGAUCCAAGCCAUGUUGCUCAACUCUCUCAUCAUGGUGACAUCAGGCUUCAAGUCUAAGACCAUGUGUGCGGCUCUGCCUGCCGCCUUCCUUGAGCCCCUGUGUUCCGUGUCUCUGAUGGAAGAUUCCGAGCUCCGCCUCCUUGUCCUGGAGAUUCUUCACAACAUAAUCGAUCGCCAUGACAACCGAGCCAAGCUCCGUGGCAUACGAAUUAUUCCUAAUGUUGCUGCUUUGAAAAUCAAACGUGAGAAAAUAUCGAAGCAAGAUGUUACGUUCAUGAAGAAGCAUGGUCAGCAGCUGUACAGACACAUCUACCUGGGCUGUAAAGAGGAAGACAACGGCCAGAAGAACUUUGAGCUUCUCUUCACGGCCCUGGCUCUCGUCACCAUCGAGCUGGCCAACGAGGACGUCAUCAUCGACCUCAUACGCCUGUCUUUAGCACUCCAGGACAUGGCUCUGACCAAUGAGGAGAACCUGCCCAUGUUCAUCCGCUGUGGCAUCAUGGCGCUGGUCGCCGCCUACCUCAACUUCCUGAGUCAGAUGAUCGCCAGCCCUGGACUGUGUCAACACGUCAGCAAGGUGAUUGAGUUGAGGAAUCUUGAGGCUCCAUAUCUACUCCCAGAGCAUGUAUUCCGAGAAAAGUGUCCGCUUCCAACAGUGCUGCAGGCUGAUGACAGGGCGGUGUUUUUCGGUGUGUGUGACGUGACGGAAGCACUUUGUGGCUCGGCCUACAGUGUGGAGCGCCUGCCCAUCCCUUACGUUCCCCAGGUUACAGAUGAAGACCGUCUGAGCCGAAGGAAGAGCUUUGUAGACACCAUCUCUUUACAACUGGAUAUCCUGUCCAACAGCCUACCAGAUAAGUCACACCUUGCUGAGGAGAUCACCUUUGAGACUCUGAAGAAAGCGAUAGACACCACAGGUCUUGAGGAACAGGAGAGGGAGAGAAGGCGUCAGGUAAUGGAGAAGUUCCAGAAAGCUCCAUUUGAGGAGAUCGCUGCCCACUGCGAGUCCAAGAAUAACAUGCUCCACGACCGGCUUGCACAGAUCUUUGAGUUAACCAUCCGCCCGCCCCCCAGCCCAUCAGGCCCCGCCUCUAUCACGUCUGGACCCGCCCACUACCAAUCCGUUCCUGUCUAUGAGAUGAAGUUCCCUGAUCUGUGUGUGUACUAG